UACCCACGCAAUGGGAUGCGAAUCUCGAAAGCCAGUCUCAGUUCGGAUUGGAGGCUGAAACCCGCCUCCAUGAAGUUGGAUUCGCUAGUAAUCGCGCAUCAGCCAUGGCGCGGUGAAUACGUUCCCGGGCCUUGUACACACCGCCCGUCACACCAUGAGAGUCGGGAACACCCGAAGUCCGUAGUCUAACCGCAAGGGGGGCGCGGCCGAAGGUGGGUCCGGUAAUUGGGGUGAAGUCGUAACAAGGUAAC
rnacentral:rRNA from 1 species